rnacentral:rRNA from 1 species
GAGCUCGGGCGAGAGUAGUACUAGGAUGGGUGACCCCCUGGGAAGUCCUCGUGUUGCACUCCCUCACCCCCUUCCUUUUGCAUUUUCUUUUUCCUUUCUGGGGGAAGCUAACGAAAGGAAACGCGCGUACGAGUGAACGUGGCUUGGAAAAAGWGCACGCGCGACGUAAAACUCACAACGUGCGGCACUGACCCGUGGAAAUAUAGGCACAAAAUCGGAUAAUCGYAACGGUUGGGAAUAUAGGRGUAAAAAGGGAUAAGGAAAA